rnacentral:rRNA from 1 species
GAAGAACAUUUCUUGUGUGACCGCGUACUAUGUGUAGAACGAGCCAACGAGUUAAGUUAAGAAGCAAGGUUAAGAACUUAAGGUGUGGAGCCGUAGCGAAAGCGAGUUUUAACUGAGCGGUCAGUUACAUGAAGUAGAAACGAAACGGGGCGACCUACCCAUGAGCAGGAUGAAGCGAAAGUAAAAUUUCGUGGAGGUCCGAACCCACGAGCGGUGAAAAGCUCGGGGAUGACUUGUGGGGAGCGGAGAAAUGCCAAUCGAGCGCGGAGAUAGCUGGUUCUCACCGAUAUAGCGAUAGGGCUAGCCUCAAGGUGUGAGAUACGGGGGUAGAGCACUGAAUGUCCUAGGGGGUAUUGCACUUACAGAAGACUAUCAUACUCCGAAUGCCGUCAUCUUAUACUUGGGAGUCAGACAGUGGGGGGUAAGAUUCAGUGUCGAAAGGGCAUCAGCC